rnacentral:rRNA from 1 species
CCGGCUUACCAACCCGAUGCAAACUGCGAAUACCGGAGAAUGUUAUCACGGGAGACACACGGCGGGUGCUAACGUCCGUCGUGAAGAGGGAAACAACCCAGACCGCCAGCUAAGGUCCCAAAGUCAUGGUUAAGUGGGAAACGAUGUGGGAAGGCCCAGACAGCCAGGAUGUUGGCUUAGAAGCAGCCAUCAUUUAAAGAAAGCGUAAUAGCUCACUGGUCGAGUCGGCCUGCGCGGAAGAUGUAACGGGGCUAAACCAUGCACCGAAGCUGCGGCAGCGACACUGUGUGUUGUUGGGUAGGGGAGCGUUCUGUAAGCCUGUGAAGGUGUGUCGUGAGGCAUGCUGGAGGUAUCAGAAGUG